rnacentral:pre_miRNA from 1 species
AUUGUACUCCUUCCGUUCGGAAUUACUUGUCUCGAAAAUGGAUGUAUCUAGAACUAAAAUAUGUCUAGAUACAUCCAUUUCUGCGACAAGUAAUUUCGAACGGAGGGAGUAUGUG